rnacentral:rRNA from 1 species
ACGGGAGGCAGCAGUGGGGAAUAUUGCACAAUGGGGGAAACCCUGAUGCAGCGACGCCGCGUGAGUGAAGAAGUAUUUCGGUAUGUAAAGCUCUAUCAGCAGGGAAGAUAAUGACGGUACCUGACUAAGAAGCACCGGCUAAAUACGUGCCAGCAGCCGCGGUAGUACGUAUGGUGCAAGCGUUAUCCGGAUUUACUGGGUGUAAAGGGAGCGUAGACGGCAAUGCAAGUCUGAUGUGAAAUCUCCGGGCUCAACCCGGAAACUGCAUUGGAAACUGUAUAGCUAGAGUGCAGGAGAGGUAAGCGGAAUUCCUAGUGUAGCGGUGAAAUGCGUAGAUAUUAGGAGGAACACCAGUGGCGAAGGCGGCUUACUGGACUGUAACUGACGUUGAGGCUCGAAAGCGUGGGGAGCAAACAGGAUUAGAUACCCUGGUA